rnacentral:rRNA from 1 species
CUACGGGAGGCAGCAGUGGGGAAUAUUGGGCAAUGGGCGCAAGCCUGACCCAGCAACGCCGCGUGAAGGAAGAAGGCUUUCGGGUUGUAACCUUCUUUUGGCAGGGACGAAGCAAGUGAAGGUACCUGAAGAAAAAGGCACGGCUAACUACGUGCCAGCAGCCGCGGUAAUACGUAGGUGGAAAGCGUUAUCCUGAUUUAUUGGGUGUAAAGGGCGGGUAGGCGGGAAUGCAAGUCAGAUGGGAAAACGAUGGGCUCAACCCAUAGCCUGCAUUUGAAACGUUAUUUCUUGAGUGCUGGAGAGGCAAUCGGAAUUCCGUGUGUAGCGGUGAAAUGCGUAGAUAUACGGAGGAACACCAGUGGCGAAGGCGGAUUGCUGGACAGUAACUGACGCUGAGGCGCGAAAGCGUGGGGAGCAAACAGGAUUAGAUACCCGAGUAGUC